UGCCAGCCGCCGCGGUAAUACGAAGGGACCUAGCGUAGUUCGGAAUUACUGGGCUUAAAGAGUUCGUAGGUGGUUGAAAAAGUUAGUGGUGAAAUCCCAGAGCUUAACUCUGGAACUGCCAUCAAAACUUUUUAGCUAAAGUAUGAUAGAGGAAAGCAGAAUUUCUAGUGUAGAGGUGAAAUUCGUAGAUAUUAGAAAGAAUACCGAUUGCGAAGGCAGCUUUCUGGAUCAUUACUGACACUGAGGAACGAAAGCAUGGGUAGCGAAGAGGAUUAGAUA
rnacentral:rRNA from 1 species